rnacentral:lncRNA from 1 species
AGACAUCCUAGAAUGCUGCUGUUAUAGAAGGGCCCCCUCUACCCUGGCUGCGUGGCGCUAGGUGUUUAAGUGUGAAGUCAAGGUCACAGCAGGAAACAGGAUGCAACUCCCAUAGUCCAAAGGAAGAGGCCUUCAUUAAAGGACCGUCAGAGCUCAAGACUCCACCCUGCUCUUCUGAGAAGCUGGACUCCCACCCACCACCUGGGAAAGAACACGGAGUGGGGAGGGUGGAAAGCCUUUCCAGAGAUAGAACUUGAACUGGCCUGAAAGACAGCCAACCGCCCAGAAAGCCCAGGGCAAGAAGGCCACUGAUGUAGCCCACCCAGGCCAGCCUACUGAGACAGAGCAGAUGGAGAAGGAGAAGGGCAGAGAGUUGAUAUGAAUCAGGAUAUACUAUACGGGAUAUAGAUUUUCAAAAGGGCAUUUGGAGUCCAGCGUCUCCAUGUGGACUUCACCCAGUAACAAAAUAUCUUAUCAAUUUGAAGAUGAACGUUUUUCACGUUUUAACACCUCUGAAGUUGACAGAAUCUUACGGUUGCUGUUCUCCAGGUGGCAGCCAGGACGUAGCUGCUGUUGCCUGCCCUUGCACAAACCUAGAUGUUAGUCCUCAUUCAGGUUGUCUUUAAAUGAUUCGUUGACUGUGUAUGGAGGAGAGUUACAGUUGUCCGAUGUGCCUUUGGUGGACCUUUUGUGGACAUCCUUCAGUAAGAACAAUAAAGUGCCAGCAUCAAAACUUAUAGAAUGAGCAUCAGCACCUUGGAAGCAAAUCCCAGAGACAAUAUUGCAGCAGUCUUAAGAAUAUUACCAAAGCUCCUGAUAGCCCAGCUGACAAAGCAUGAAAAAUACUCUGAUCUCAACUCUCCGUUGAAAGUGAUUCAGAGGACCUGGGAAUGUUUCUAUAGGAAACAUUUUAAUGAUACCUCAACGAAUUUUUAAAAAUUUAAGUCAGAUUUAUUGAGGUAUAAUUUACAUACAGUAAAACUAACCCUUUUUAGAUAUACAGUUCUGUGAAUUGGUAAAAAUAUAUAUAAUGUUGUGUAUCCA